GGUGGUAUGCUCGAGUGGACGGGCCCCUGACUGUAAAUCAGGCGCUGAAAAGCACGCCAGGUUCGAACCCUGGACCACCC
rnacentral:tRNA from 1 species